rnacentral:rRNA from 1 species
UACGAGGGGGCGAGCGUUGUUCGGAAUUAUUGGGCGUAAAGGGUGCGUAGGCGGUUUGGUAAGUCUUAUGUGAAAUCUACAGGCUCAAUCUUGUAGUCUGCAUGAGAAACUGCCGGGCUUGAGUAUGGGAGAGGUGAGUGGAAUUCCUGGUGUAGCGGUGAAAUGCGUAGAUAUCAGGAGGAACACCUGUGGCGAAAGCGGCUCACUGGACCAUAACCUGACGCUGAUGCACGAAAGCUAGGGGAGCAAACAGG